rnacentral:rRNA from 1 species
CGCUGAGUUUGAUCCUGGCUCAGAUUGAACGCUGGCGGAAUGCUUUACACAUGCAAGUCGAACGGUAGAGGGGGCAACCCCUUGAGAGUGGCGAACGGGUGAGUAAUAUAUCGGAACGUGCCCAGUCGUGGGGGAUAAUGUAGCGAAAGUUACGCUAAUACCGCAUACGAUCUAAGGAUGAAAGCGGGGGAUCGCAAGACCUCGCGCGAUUGGAGCGGCCGAUAUCAGAUUAGGUAGUUGGUGAGGUAAAGGCUCACCAAGCCGACGAUCUGUAGCUGGUCUGAGAGGACGACCAGCCACACUGGGGACUGAGACACGGCCCAGACU